CAGGUCUCUGCUGCUGAUGUCCUCAAGCCUACAAGCCAGCCCUGCUAGUCCAGCUCCUUCCGCUCUUUGCAAUCAAUCUGUCCAGCGCUCGUCAUCUGAGGAUCUCAAAGCACUUCACAGACAUACGGGCUCCUCCGACAGGCUGGCCACGAGGGAUGCCUGAGACCCUGGGCUGGCGAUAGAGCUGCAACCAGCCACGCCUCCUGGGAACGCUGUCAGACGCCCGCCAAGCCGCUUGCUUCCCAAAGACCCUUCGCCGACCGGUCUCUGGCCAGGACGCCGCCUGCCUACCGGACAACAUGAACUCCCAGAACGAG